ACACACACCACACACACACACACACCCCCACACAUACACACACACACCCCACACGACCGUCCGCUGGUUACGCGCUGGCCUGGCGCGCCCCGCGUCCACGGCACACGAGCAAUCCCUCUCUGUGCUUUACGAUAACUUUACAAUCCUCUCACUUGGACACGUUUGCUGAGCCAGUUUAUUAUUAUUAUACGUGUGGCCGUCUUUUCAAGCAAUAUCGAUUUUUGAACUCGAUCAAAAAAAUAUUUCAUUAGUUGUAAAACAAACAAAAAACAACGACGACGUCAGGUGAACUUGAUCAAAUCGGCCGCAGCGCUGGAUAUUUUAAAGGUACAAAUAAGUCUGCGAUAAAACGAGAGACCCAGAUACUGCACAUUCUUAAUUAUUUACACUGAAUUGUGUUCAACAUCAAUAGGCGUCGUACAAAAGGUGUAAACAAGCCCAGAUUGUGGAGAAUUUAUCAUUGCCAUGUUGGGCCAUUGGCCAGGUUGCUCAUUCAGUGCUUGUGGCCCCAGGUGGGAAAACAUGUAUUUGCGCUGCACUCUCAAAAUCUGCUCUGGAAUCUUCAAUGGCAACGUGAGAGGAGCUGCCUAACUUGGCGUCCGUCACUCUAGCAGGCGUACGCACUGAGAUAUUGGUCACGAAGCCCACCAUUCCGUGUGAAACUGCAUGGCGGGGAGCCCCUUGGUGCGGAUGGUCCUGUCAUAACGGUGCAAGAGUCGUUGCUCAGCGGCGAGCACCCCGCGUGCAGGCAAAAAAACACAACAGAUGGGGACAUGGAAAAAGAUGUGCUCAUUAUAAUUUUAAUGUUUCACAAUGAGCAAGAAACAUACUGAUGAUGUCAUUUUUUUCAGAGAAAUAAGCUCAAAUACAUUCUACAAUAAACCAGUUUUUUGACAACGACAAGUUUGCGACAAAUUAAAAAAGAAGUGUAUAUCUCUGCACGUUAUGUUAGUGAGUGUAUUAUAGUACAGCUCAUUCUCAUCGACAGUACAGUAACAAAAACUAUUAAGACUACGUUCCGUAAUAGAAAACAUCAACAGCUUUUUUUGGUUUAGUCUGCAUUUUAUAGUUACAGCUAUUGAUUAAAUAAGCAAAAUCAUCAAGGGUAUUGUGUACAAAGGUAACAAAAGUAUGAGGGGACACGGGCUUCAGCUGUCAAGGAAUAUAUGCACUCUGCAUUAACUCGUUUUUCAAUAACAACCAAAUUGUAUUUAUACGUCCUAUGUUUAACGUGGCACAAUCCCACACGCUACAAGUCCUUCGGAACUUUUUGGCUUUAAAAAAAAAAAAUUGUGAAUUAAAGCAUUUUUCGUGCUAAUGUAGUUUUUUUUUUUAGUAAAGUUUAGUGUUGAUACCGUGGACUUAAGAGGUUAGGUCUUGGUACGAUCUGCCCAGCAGUCAAUUCUGACAAAAAAACACACACAGACCUGGAGAACACCAUACAAUCAUGCAACAUUUAAAGUGAUGGCAUUUGAUAUUCACUCUGAAAAACAAUAUCAAUAUUUGCAGUGUUGGUUAUAAACAAAUUAUGAAAACAGCAUCUCAAAAACAUCGGAAAAAAGAGCUAAAAGAUCCAGUGGAAAGCAUUGUCAAAUGUGCAUCUGUUGUGAACCUUCGUUUAAAUGCUACAGUUUCAGCUUUGAUGUUUACGAAACAGAAUUCCUCGACUGAAUAAUAAAACACAGGGAGACAGACACGACAGCGAAACAAUGAACACCAAAGAAAGAAAAUUCCAUCGCACACUUCUUUAGUCGAACAGUAAUGGGGGGAGGGGGUAAUUUAUCUUCAAAGCCAUGUUUAGCUGUGCAAAAAAGAUGAAAUUAAUGUCAUGCUUUUGUACAUAGUACGGAAAGCUAAGUGUUUUAUUUCCACUGACUGCAAAAGAAAUAUAUACAGCACGGGUGUAAAAAAAUGCUAAAAGUAAAAAUCAAAGUCAAUUUUUUUUUGUCUUUCUCGUACGUUAUUUUUUAAAGAACAUGUUGGGUAGACAGAUGAUGAUAAAACACCGGUUUGGAAUGAAUGUGGAUAACAUCCUUUUGCUAGCAUACUUCAAAGAUAUUCACAGUCACGGGCAUGAGCGUGCGCCAUACAAAGAGAAGCCACCACCACCACCAGCAUCACCACCACAGAGCGCGCGGCGGUCUCCGUGAUCGGCGCCUCUCGCGCCCCCGCUGCGUGCAGCCACUUGAGGUGUGUACACAAAACAACAACAACAACAACGACGGACCCGGAACCACAAGCAAAAUAGCAGCACAAGGAUGGGGAGCUGUUAAGUCGACUGAAAAAUGAGACUGCUGUUCCGUCUAUUAACUGGCAGUGUUAAAUUAAAGUUUGCUGCGGAAAGUUUUUCCGUCUGUAAAUUUUUUUUUUUUACAUUUUCACUUUGCUUCACCUGUACUUAAUGCAUGAUAUCACCGUAUUUAAAAUUGUUACGUUUUAACAUUUCAGAGCACCAUCUUUGUUUGCGAGGGCAAACAAAGAUGGCGGCGUCACCACCCCUCUCGACAACAUUUUGUUUGUUCGUAUUUUUGUCCUUUUCCAAAAAAAGAGCCGACUUCAAGUACACCAACACCUAUUUCGUUUAUGCACCAAGUUACGUCUUUGGAUCAUUAAAAGGGGAACAAAACUACGAUGGGAAAGAGGAAAUAGGUGCGGCGCUAAAGCUCGCCCCUGCCCCCUCCCCCCAAAAAAAAACAAAACGACAGUGCUAGUUUUAAACGUAAAAGAUUAAUAUUUUAAAUAAAGAAUAUAACGAGCUAUCAUCGUCAUGAUCAUCAUCACCAUCAUCACCAAUAGUAGAGCUGAAGAAGUGCUGCGGUAAAAGGUAUGCAAAAUAAAUGGAAUAAAGAAAUUAAAACAGCCACUUAGGAAACAUCACAUCCCCUAAACGUCACAUGUCCGAUCACACGACGUCCACCACCCGAGCGGCUACAAAAACUACGGUACCGUGUUAGCUGUAUCAUCAAUAUCGGGCGUUCAGAUAGAGAGAGAGAGGUGAAGGAGGAACGGGGAAAUUAACAUUGGCACAAAUUUACACAAUUCGAUUUCUUUGCCUCCAUCUCGCACAUUAAAAAAGGAAAACAAAAUGUCCACGACACGAAGACAUAGCAGUUGUGAAACAUUAUAAAUGUGUACACAGGUAUCACUGUACUUGUGUAAUAACUCCAUAGUAACAAACUAUCCAACAUCAAAACAGUACUCAUUUUAUUAUAAAUACAGGAGAGCUACUUUUUUUUACUUUUUUUAAAUUCUCAUCUUAAUGUUGUUAAGCUCUACCGUAACAGAAGACCUACAAGAGAGUAAAGAUCUAUUUUAUUUUUAAGAACCCCAUUAAGAAGAGUUGCUUUUGCUUGUUAUGGACAAGUCAACUCAUGAGAAGAGAAAUCAAAAGCUUUUUAAACUUGAACUAAGUGUGAGCUACUGACCUGAGAUAUACAGACACAGAUUCAUAGCUAGCCAUUGGUAUAGUUCAUGAUUAGUUAGGCAAAGAAUGUUGCUGGAUCAUUAUCCCCAUAUAACACAUGCUAGCGGGAUGCGCUCGUCAGUUGUGCCGUUCGCCCCACCGCGCGCCCACCGCCCAUGCCCCCACGCCCCCCCCGUGACCUCUCCGAGUAUUUGGCUUUUUGAACCCCCUUCGAAGCGCCGUCACAAUGCACCUCAGCAGAAAUGUUCCAAACUUUUUUUUAAAGUUUUGUUUUUCUUUUCUUUUGCCGUUUUAAAAGUAGAGCACAAAAUAAAAACAAAGUGUCAAAUAAAAACGUAACAGCAACUGUGCCUUUUUUGACCAUUUAUAAACACACACAAUUAGAAACUAUUCCUCAAGCCAGCAUAUCAAUAUGGGAAGAACAAUCCGAAGUCAAAUUAUUUUUGGUUUUGAUUAGGAGCUUUGGAAUAGUAGUUAGUAGUAAUUGGUUUUUGACUGUUGAUAAAACCCUUCCCAUUCAUUAUUAUUAUUUUAUUAUUAUUGAGGAUCCAGAGGAUCUCAUUAAUAUUAUUAUUACUGUCGAUAAUAAUAAUAUCGUCAUUAUUAUCGCCAUCACCGCUACCACCACCACCAUCGUCGUCAUCAUCAUCAUUUAUCUUCAUCAUAUAAAUAACACACACAAUAAAACCCUCCCUUCCCCAUGGCUAGGCUACACGCGAAGGAAGUCCGUGGCAAGCUGCGCACUACCCGUGCUCCCGCUGUCCAGGGGGGCCACCGCCCGGGGGGCCCUGCUCCCCGCGGGCCGCUCGGAGUCCUCCGAUGCACGGCUCAGCUCGCUCUCAGACUCGUCCGAGCAGCUGUCCCAAGGAGGGGGCGAAGUCUGGACCCCUGAGGCUCUGCGGGAUGACGCUGAGGUAACCGUCGACGCGCCGAGGGGGAGGGCGGCGGCGGCGCCGCCAUUUCCGCGGGGCGCGGGCUCGUUCUGCAGCGCGGAGGAGGACGAGGAGGAGGAGAGCGAUCGGUUUCCAUCGGCUGGCUCCUUCUGCUCCAUGGAGGACGAUGAAGAACUUGCGGUGGCGCUGCUGCCGCCGGCGCCGAUGCUGCCUCCGCCGCCGCCACCGCCGCCACCACUACUGCUCUUGCUUGCGCCGCUGCUGCCGGUGGUGGCAGCGUUUGCCGCACCCCCGGCAGUCACGUCAGGCGCGGCCGACUUGCUGGAACUCGCAGUCGUCGCGCUGCCACUGCUGCCCGAUCCGCUGCCACUCGCCGCCUCCAACUUGGCCGCCCUCGCCCGGGUCUGGUGCAGGACCGACCUCAUGUGGAUCUCCAGCGUUGAGCUCUGACUGUAGGCCACGUUGCAGGUCAUGCACUUGUAGGGCUUGUUGUCAAUCCCGUUGGCCGGUUCUGACCGCUCGCCUCCGGAGCCGGGGCUCGACGAUUCCUGCAGGGCCUUCUUCAGGCGGUGCAGGUGCGAGACGGAGUUGUAGUGCACCAAGAGAAUGUUCUUCUGGGUGAAGGACUCUUUGCAGACGGUGCACUUGUACGGCCGCGAGGGGUCCAGAAACUUCUCCAUGGCAAAGCUGGUGCACUUGCGGGGAAUCACAGCUCGCUUGGCCUCCAUCGUGGGGUCCUCCUGGCCGAAGAUCCCUCCGUCGCUUCCCGUGGGGCUCUGCUUCCCGUCGGGGUCGCUGUCCUCAUCUUUGUCCGCCUCUGCCGGGAGGGAGAGCUCCUCCUCCGUCUCGGGUAGCGACUUGAAGUCGCCAUUGGCGAUCUGCAGGCUUCCACAGAGCUGCUGCACCUGGAUGUCGGCCAGCUCCGGGUGGCUGCUCUCCAGGUGCUUGCGCAACGCGGGGAUGGAGCGGAAGCUGCGUUGGCAGAGGGCGCAUGCGGUGGCGGCGCGGAUGACGUGGUACUGCAGGUGCGCCUGCAGCCGCUCGGGUGUCUUGAAGGCAAGGCUGCACUGCGGGCACCGGUGCUUGUACACGUGCCGGUCGGACACGGGCAACUGCACCCGCUUCGUCACGGAGUCUCCCGCCAAGGAACCUUGCGUCGCGCCCGCGACCCUCGCAUUGCUUUGCUGCUCUUCCUUUUUGUCGUCUUUGUUCGUGGUCUGCUCGCCGGACCGCUCCGUGGCAUUUUCUGACAAUUCGCGCGAGGUGCCAGCCCUCUCGUAGUCUUCCUUAUUGCCUGCGGACAGCAGUAGCAGCAUCAGCAAAAAAAAAGUUGCACCAGAAAUGAAAACUACUGUCUAGUAUGAGAUCAAGACGAGCUAAAAAACAUUGCACAUUUUCAUAACCAGACUGACCUUACGAUGCUGGAAACUACAUUUAUGGCUUCAUUUUGUAUGCACACACCAAGGUCGUCUCUGUUCAUCCCAUUAAUUUUUCACUACACGAGUCACCUUUUCCAUUAGUGACAGUGACUGCAUAAAAUGACCUCGCAUUAAAAAUUAAUGCAGGUGGACGUGGGAGUAAUUGCAUUUUAAACUGAGCGAUGGAUAAUGCAGUAGGCAAGUUUGUUUUCAGCGGCUGGUUCCCAAAACAUUUUGGUUCCUGUUGCACCCAAUUUUCGUUGCUUAAUUAGAAUGCACAGUAUUACAAUGUACUCCCGUCUUUUUACCUCUGUAUGUCAAAUUAAACAUAAAAUGUAAUUGGAAUAUAUUUUAGACGAAUUAAUAAUUGUUCAAAAGAAUGCAACGUUACGCUGAAUUAAAUCAAAUUAAUGUUAUUUCCAGACAGGAGUACAAUUCUAGAGUAAGGUAGAUUCAAGUUAUUGCUUCCAAUUGUCAUUAUUUUAUUGCAAUCUCAGAGCUGCGGUCUUAUGAAAAUUAAAACCUCGGAGCUACAUCCGAAUUUUAGCCUCAAGUUAAUUCAAAAUUUUGAGGCAUUAUUUAAAAUGCCAAUGGCUUUUGUGAGGCUGAACAAAUUUUCUAAGUGCGGGGGCCUCUCUCAGAAAAGGGGGGGGGACACCUUACCCAAGGAUUUUGUCGAGUCCUCGGCAACGACUCUCAAGGUGCUGUUGUGUUGGUGGCCAUCGCCCUCCGACGCCCCGGCAGGCAGGAACGCAGAACUCGGUACCAUCAUCUCCGGUGACGACAUCUAAAGGCGCCGAGCGGCAGAAAGCGGCAUCGUUAGCGGCGGCCGCAGUGAGCCGCUAACCACCGCCGCCACCGCCGCCGGGUAGUGAACACCACGUGGUUCCCUCCAUUCACCAAAACUUGCAAACCGACUCCCCCCACUCCGCGCCCCCCCCCCCUCCUCACGCUAUUCUACAUCUCCGCGCAAUUUCGACGACUUAGCGGACGGCGACGGCACAAACCGUCACAGAAAUAACACAAACGCCAUCGUGCACUAAUGGCACAAGUGGCUGUGAGGUGGUGGUGGUGGUGGUGGGGAGGAGAGAAAAAACCUCCACCGGCGUGGCAUAGCGCGGUUUCACGUCACCGUGUUUGGCUCGCCUUCCCUCGUCUCUCCCCGCCCGCCUCUGCCAGGGCCAUGCUGUUUGGCUACGCGCGCUCAAUUAGCCACCUCGCCAAGAAGCAGUGCUCAAUGGGGGAAAAAGCAGAAUAAUGGAGGGCUCUUAAUUAAAGGCACACAUUAAACAUGGAGCCCCUGACACAGCCUCCAGUUCCUGAGCCACAUUCUGGAUCCUUUAAAUGAGACGAUAAAAAUUGCUGCUCUUGUCAAAAAAAGAAGGCUAAUUGUGCUUUAAGGUUAUGUGAGAAACUGUGCAAAAGGUGAGCUGCAUCGUUUUGACUGUAGCCAGCACGGGGUACUUGUGUUACAAAGCUGUUUAUUGGAAAUUUGACAUCCAUCGCCAUGCUUGGACUACAAAUGGGUUAUGUUGUUGUUGUAACAUUAGCUGAUUCAAUUUGGGUUUUAUGCACUGUCGCUUGUGAAUAAAUGCAACCAUCAUCCAUUCUCUAUCCACACUGCUCAGCCUCCACGUCUGCGCACUUUUCCGUCGUCCCGUAAGUCUUCUUGUCAAUUACUUGUUACGCCUUUUGCAGUUUUCACAGCCCAUGGCUCAGAUUUUGUUUGUCCGAAGUUAUUAUUUUUCUCUCGCAGUUUCUGUCUCUGUGCAAUGCUGAGUGUUUGAUAUUCACCCCUUGUGACACCUAAGUUGACAGUGACCGUAUUUCUGGCUCAACGUGCGAUGCUGCCCGAGAGUACAGAUUUAUUUGUCGGUGUUUCCACUUCAACACUUAAUGCAGCAUGCAAGGGUUGUUUAUGUAUUUAUUUAAAAGGUGCCCCGGGUUGGUUCUGUUUAGGGUUGAAUGUGAUUUUAUCUUCAAAACGCAAACGAAAUUGGUUGAAUCAAGCGAGUUGUGCAUGCAGACCACACAUCCUGAUAUUCGUUGCAAGUACUGAAAAUGCUAUGGCAGAAGAAUAAUCGUGGGUGCUUCAUUUUCUCUACUGUUUAAUAUCGCUGGCAUUUAAGCAUUAAUGCGCUCGAUAGUGAGAGAUCUACAGGGUGUCCAAUAAGUCAGGAAUCGUAGGGAAAAAUAACUCAUUCAUAUUUCCCUGGUCAUUGGAUAGGACGUCGAGGGCCUGUGGAAUGGCCAGCGGGAAGCCACAAUCUCACACCACUGGAUUUUUAUCUCUCGGGUCACUUGAAGGCGCUGGCCAACACGGAGAAAAUUCCGAAUGAACAUUUGCAGCAGCGCAUUAUUGACGCAUGUAACACCAUUUUACCCCUAAUACCAUUUACUGUGUGCUUGCUGACUGGGUAUCUCGUCUGGAGUUGUGUAUCAGGAAUAAAUGUGGACACAUUGCGCACGUUCUGUGAAUAAAAGCGCUAUUAUUGCCUUUUUUGUAUUAUUUUUCCUAUGAUUCCAGACUUAUGGGACACCCUACUGAGAAUCGGGCUAUAGUCUGAGAAUCGGGCUAUAUUCUCACUUCUACCAAACAUCAAUGGUGUGCACCCCACAGGGGAGCCCUGCACCUCCCAGUUCGAAACCCAGUCGGCACAAUAUUAUAAUGAUUCUAGAACAGAAUAUAUCUCAUAUAGUUAGCAAAUAAUAAAUGCAUGUGUGGGUAGGGGGAUGGGUAUUUUACUUAAAAUAUUAAUAUUUUUUCCGAGCAAAUAUCAAACCAGGAACAUUGAUUUUCAUUCUAUGGCACUAAAACUGCGUGAAACAUGGGAAGCUGGAAUGGGUUUUUCAUGUAAAUUCUAUACGAUUGUGCCAUUGACUGCAGUUUAUAAUCAUUGUAUUAUCUGAUUUUGUAUUACUUAACUAAUAAACGAUUGUAUAAUAAGUUA